UUUUUUUCGAUUCUCUAGUUGAAUAAUUUUACGCUGCUAUAAAACCUGAAAAGCGAUCACCACGAGCAGUACCGAUGAUAACAAUCCCUUGGACAAUUCCGGCGAUUGGAGGAAACAGUCGGACUUCAUGGUGGAAGCGACGUCCUGAGAUCGCACCAAGUAACAAGAGAACGGUGAGCCGAUCGACGAUAAGAUGUUUCAUCUUUCCCAAGCAUAUCCGCAAUCAACAAUGAGUGAGUUGUUGAUUCCAAUAACCUUCCGGACCACGGAGCAGAAAAAAUAAACAAAACUAUCAGAACUACGCAAAUGCUAUUUAUUUGAUCGGAAAGAUUGUUAUUCAGGCCAAAAUUUAUUAAGGAAAGUUUUUAACAAGUGACUGCAUAU